rnacentral:sRNA from 1 species
GUCAACUACCCCUACUUAACGCCUUAAUCGGCGUUUGAAGUGGGAGCUUGGGGAAACGUGUAAGCCAGGCUUAUACGCCCUCAGGCCCGGUUGAUUAUGCCUCAGUGGUCGGGAUGUUUACGGAAAGGGGACAGCGAACCACUACGUUAAGCUGGAAUAGAUAGGCACCCUGGGAUCUCCCACACGUCCCAGGCUCUGCGGCGAGUUUUUAAACAACAUAACAGAGCCGUGAGAAAGAGAGUGAUGUCGAGUGGAAUCAUCAACUGAUUAUCAGUCCAGACCAGAAGUAUUGCUAUCGGCAAAAGAAGUGGC